rnacentral:rRNA from 1 species
GAUGAACGCUGGCGGCGUGCCUAAUACAUGCAAGUCGAGCGAACGGACGAGACUCUUGCUUCUCUGAUGUUAGCGGCGGACGGGUGAGUAACACGUGGCUAACCUACCUAUCAGACUUGGAUAACUUCGGGAAACCGUAGCUAAUACCGGAUAAUAUUUUGAACCGCAUGGUUCAAAAGUGAAAGACGGUCUUGCUGUCACUUAUCGAUGUAUCCGCUCUGCAUUAGCUAGUUGGUAAGGUAACGGCUUACCAAGGCAACGAUGCAUAGCCGACCUGAGAGAGGGAUAGGCGACCUGGGAGCGGGAACAGGGACAAGGGGACUAAGGGAGGCAGCAGAAGGGAAUGUUAGGCAGUGGGCGAAAGCAUGACGGAGCGACGCCGCGUGAGUGAUGAAGGUCUUCGGAUCGUAAAAAUCGGUUAUUAGGGAAGAACAUAUGUGUAAGGAACUGUGCACAUAUUGACGGUACCUAAUCAGAAAGCAACGGCUAACUACGUG